GAUGAACGCUGACAGAAUGCUUAACACAUGCAAGUCAACUUGAAUUUGGGUCUUUUGACUUAGAUUUGGGUGGCGGACGGGUGAGUAACGCGUAAAGAACUUGCCUCACAGUUAGGGACAACAUUUGGAAACGAAUGCUAAUACCUGAUAUUAUGAAUAUAUGGCAUCAUAUAAUUAUGAAAGCUAUAAGCGCUGUGAGAGAGCUUUGCGUCCCAUUAGCUAGUUGGAGAGGUAACGGCUCACCAAGGCGAUGAUGGGUAGCGGCCUGAGAGGGUGAACGGCCACAAGGGGACUGAGACACAGCCCUUACUCCUACGGGAGGCAGCAGUGGGGAAUAUUGGACAAUGGACCAAGAGUCUGAUCCAGCAAUUCUGUGUGCACGAUGACGUUUUUCGGAAUGUAAAGUGCUUUCAGUUGGGAAGAAAAAAAUGACGGUACCAACAGAAGAAGUG
rnacentral:rRNA from 1 species